ACGGGGGGGGCAAGCGUUGUUCGGAAUUACUGGGCGUAAAGGGCGCGUAGGCGGCUUUUCAAGUCGGGCGUGAAAUCUCCGGGCUUAACCCGGAAGGGUCGUUCGAUACUGUUGAGCUAGAGUGUGGAAGAGGCAACUAGAAUUCCGUGUGUAGCGGUGAAAUGCGUAGAUAUACGGAGGAAUACCUGAGGCGAAGGCGGGUUGCUGGGCCAACGCUGACGCUGAGGCGCGAAAGCCAGGGGAGCAAACGGGA
rnacentral:rRNA from 1 species